GACGAACGCUGGCGGCGUGCUUAACACAUGCAAGUCGAACGAUGAAGCGGUGCUUGCACCGUGGAUUAGUGGCGAACGGGUGAGUAAUACGUGAGUGACCUACCUUUGACUCUGGGAUAAGCCUGGGGAACUGGGUCUAAUACCGGAUACGACCAAUCUCUGCAUGGGGUGUUGGUGGAAAGCGUUAUGGAGUGGUUUUAGAUGGGCUCACGGCCUAUCAGCUUGUUGGUGAGGUAAUGGCUUACCAAGGCGACGACGGGUAGCCGGCCUGAGAGGGUGACCGGCCACACUGGGACUGAGACACGGCCCAGACUCCUACGGGAGGCAGCAGUGGGGAAUAUUGCACAAUGGGCGCAAGCCUGAUGCAGCGACGCCGCGUGAGGGAUGACGGCCUUCGGGUUGUAAACCUCUGUUAGCAUCGAAGAAGCGAAAGUGACGGUAGGUGCAGAGAAAGCGCCGGCUAACUACGUG
rnacentral:rRNA from 1 species